GACGAACGCUGGCGGCGUGCUUAACACAUGCAAGUCGAACGGAAAGGCCCUGCUCUUGUUGGGUUCUCGAUUGGCGAACGGGUGUGUAACACGUGAGUAACCUGCCCUUGACUUUCGGAUAACUUCAGGAAACUGGGGCGAAUACCGGAGAGGAGCUCCUGCUGCAUGUGGGGGGUUGGAAAGUUUCGGCGUUUGGGGAUGGACUCGCGGCUUAUCGGCUUGUUUGUGUGGUAGUGGCUUACCAAGGCUUUGACGGGUAGCCUGCCUGAGAGGGUGACCGGCCACAUUGGGACUGAGAUACGGACCAGACUGCUACGGGCGGCAGCAGUGGGGAAUAUUGCACAAUGGGGGGAAGCCUGAUGCAGCAACGCCGCGUGCGGGAUAACGGCCUUCGGGUUGUAAACCGCUUUCGCCUGUGACGAAGAGUGAGUGACGGUAAUGGGUAAAGAAGCACCGGCUAACUACGUG
rnacentral:rRNA from 1 species